CGCCUCUUGACAAUAUAUAAGAGGUCUAGCCUGCCCAGUGACUCUGUUCAACGGCCGCGGUAUCCUAACCGUGCGAAGGUAGCGUAAUCACUUGUUCUUUAAAUGAGGACUAGUAUGAAUGGCAUUACGAGGGUUAUACUGUCUCCUUUUCCUAAUCAGUGAAACUAAUCUCCUCGUGAAGAAGCGAGGAUGAACAUAUAAGACGAGAAGACCCUAUGGAGCUUUAAACUUCCAGCAAUUAUCUUUUUUACAUUAACCUUAAGGUAAUCAAAUUAACUUUAAUAUUAUGCCUGUUAGUUUUCGGUUGGGGUGACCGCGGAGUAAAAAUUAUCCUCCGCAAUGAAUACUAAACGUUUAAGCAACAAACUACAAUUUUAUGCAUCAAAAAAUUGACACUAUUGACCCAACAUUUUGAUCAACGAACCAAGUUACCCUAGGGAUAACAGCGCAAUCCAUCUCAAGAGCUCAUAUCGACAGAUGGGUUUACGACCUCGAUGUUGGAUCAGGGUAUCCCAGUGGUGCAGCCGCUACAAAAGGUUCGUUUGUUCAACGAUUAAAACCCUA
rnacentral:rRNA from 1 species